rnacentral:rRNA from 1 species
ACUCCUACGGGAGGCAGCAGUGGGAGUAUUGCACAAUGGGCGCAAGCCUGAUGCAGCCAUGCCGCGUGUAUGAAGAAGGCCUUCGGGUUGUAAAGUACUUUCAGCAGUGAGGAAGGUGGGUAUGUUAAUAGCAUACUCAUUUGACGUUAGCUGCAGAAGAAGCACCGGCUAACUCCGUGCCAGCAGCCGCGGUAAUACGGAGGGUGCGAGCGUUAAUCGGAAUUACUGGGCGUAAAGCGCAUGCAGGUGGUUUGUUAAGUCAGAUGUGAAAGCCCGGGGCUCAACCUCGGAAUUGCAUUUGAAACUGGCAAACUAGAGUACUGUAGAGGGGGUAGAAUUUCAGGUGUAGCGGUGAAAUGCGUAGAGAUCUGAAGGAAUACCGGUGGCGAAGGCGGCCCCCUGGACAGAUACUGACACUCAGAUGCGAAAGCGUGGGGAGCAAACAGGAUUAGAUACCCUGGUAGGAUAGCG